rnacentral:rRNA from 1 species
CAGCCGCGCGGUAAUACCGGCGGCCCGAGUGGCGGUCACUAUUAUUGGGGUUAAAGCGUCCGUAGCCGGGUUGGGAAGUCCUCCGGGAAAUCUGGCCGCUUAACGGUCAGAAUGCCGGAGGAUACUCCCAGCCUAGGGAGCGGGAGAGGCCGAGGGUAUUCCCGGAGUAGGGGUGAAAUCCUAUAAUCCCGGGAGGACCACCUGUGGCGAAGGCGCUCGGCUGGAACGCGUCCGACGGUGAGGGACGAAGGCCAGGGGAGCAAACCGGAUUAGAUACCCGGGUAGUCCUGGCUGUAAACGAUGCGGACUUUGUGUCGGACAAGCUAUGAGCUUGUCCGGUGCCGGAGGGAAACCGUUAAGUCCGCCGCCUGGGGAGUACGGCCGCAAGGCUGAAACUUAAAGGAAUUGGCGGG